GCGGACGGGUGAGUAAUGCUUGGGAAUCUGGCUUAUGGAGGGGGAUAACUACGGGAAACUGUAGCUAAUACCGCGUAGUAUCGGGAGAUGAAAGACUGGGACCGCAAGGCCAGUUGCCAUAAGGUGAACCCAAGUGGGAUUAGGUAGUUGGUGGGGUAAAGGCCUACCAAGCCGACGAUCUCUAGCUGGUCUGAGAGGAUGACCAGCCACACUGGAACUGAGACACGGUCCAGACUCCUACGGGAGGCAGCAGUGGGGAAUAUUGCGCAAUGGGGGGAACCCUGACGCAGCCAUGCCGCGUGAAUGAAGAAGGCCUUCGGGUUAUAAAGUUCUUUCGGUGAUGAGGAAGGUGUUUGUUUUAAUAGAGCAAGCAAUUGACGUUAGUCACAGAAGAAGCACCGGCUAACUCCGUGCCAGCAGCCGCGGUAAUACGGAGGGUGCGAGCGUUAAUCGUAAUAACUGGUUUUAAAGGGCACGCAGGCCGGUGACUUAAGUGAGAUGUGAAAUCCC
rnacentral:rRNA from 1 species